rnacentral:rRNA from 1 species
GUGAGGAAUAUUGGUCAAUGGACGAGAGUCUGAACCAGCCAAAUAGCGUGAAGGAUGAAGGUCCUACGGAUUGUAAACUUCUUUUAUAAGGGAAUAAAACCUCCCACGUGUGGGAGCUUGUAUGUACCUUAUGAAUAAGCAUCGGCUAACUCCGUGCCAGCAGCCGCGGUAAUACGGAGGAUGCGAGCGUUAUCCGGAUUUAUUGGGUUUAAAGGGAGCGCAGACGGGUCGUUAAGUCAGCUGUGAAAGUUUGGGGCUCAACCUUAAAAUUGCAGUUGAUACUGGCGUCCUUGAGUGCGGUUGAGGUGUGCGGAAUUCGUGGUGUAGCGGUGAAAUGCUUAGAUAUCACGAAGAACUCCGAUUGCGAAGGCAGCACACUAAGCAGUAACUGACGUUCAUGCUCGAAAGUGUGGGUAUCAAACAGGAUUAGAAACCCGUGUAGUCC